CCACCAAAUGCCGGAUGUAGUGAGAGGUGCCACACGUGCUGCCGCCUGCCGGAUGUAGUGAGAGGUGACACACGUGCUGCUGGAUGUAGUGAGAGGUGACACACGUGCUGCUGGAUGUAGUGAGAGGUGACACACGUGCUGCUGGAUGUAGUGAGAGGUGACACACGUGCUGCCGCCUGCUGGAUGUAGUGAGAGGUGACACACGUGCUGCUGGAUGUAGUGAGAGGUGACACACGUGCUGCUGGAUGUAGUGAGAGGUGACACACGUGCUGCUGGAUGUAGUGAGAGGUGACACACGUGCUGCCGCCUGCUGGAUGUAGUGAGAGGUGACACACGUGCUGCCGCCUGCUGGAUGUAGUGAGAGGUGACACACGUGCUGCCGCCUGCUGGAUGUAGUGAGAGGUGACACACGUGCUGCCGCCUGCUGGAUGUAGUGAGAGGUGACACACGUGCUGCCGCCUGCUGGAUGUAGUGAGAGGUGACACACGUGCUGCCGCCUGC